CCAUUGUGAGUCGUAAUUUGGUUGUACGCCUCGUGCUGGAGUCAGAUUCCGGUGAACGGAGGAACGGAGAUUGGUUGCCUAGUAGAAUCACCGUAGAAGGAUAGUUGAAAGUGUACAAGCUUGGAUAUUGUCCUUUGGAUACAGGUGUAAAUACAGCAACCAUUUGACAGGAAAUAGUGUGUAAAAGAGAAAUUUAGAAAAACCGUUAAAAUGGGAUGAUGUUGACAGUUUAACGGAUACUGAAAAACUUUAAUCUUUUCCUAUAUAUAUUUUUAUAUAUUUAAAAAUAUUUAUUAAUUUAUUUCUUCUGUUUCUUUUUUGGUGGUUGGUAUUUUAGUUGUUACAUAGAAAGUGAUAAUGAAGAUGAUUUAUUUUCUGCACUAUGGUUUCAUGUGAAAUGGGUCGGUGAUGGUGAAAGGUUUACAGAUGGUCGUAGAAUUGGACUUUUUGUUUUGAAAUUUUUUGGUUCUAAACUUUUAAAUGUGGGGCCAAUUUUCAGUAUUUUCUUUUCUUUAGGUUUGGAGAAUUACAGCAGACACGCUUUUGCAUGUGCAACGUGUCGCUUCUCAAUAAGGAACUGUGUGGGACCCAGUCUUUUUUUCUAGUUCUUUUUCAUAUUUAUUAUACAAUACAUUAUCACAAAUUUUACAAGUUGUAUAAUUAUAGAAAUAGAAAUUACUAUAAAGUUCAGACAA
rnacentral:lncRNA from 1 species